rnacentral:piRNA from 1 species
UGAACAAGACAUAGAGGGGAUAGGGCUGC